rnacentral:lncRNA from 1 species
ACCGGGCUAAAAACAAAAUUGGAUAAAUAAAUAUUUUUUUAUUUAAAAAGUCCAUUACAGUCCAGUUUACAAAGGCCCAAAUACCAAAACCCAGCACCCGCUUACAACCCAAUUAGCCUAAACCUUUGGCCCAAAAUUCAUUAACCCGUUACACCCAGACCCAAACAAGACCCAACCAAAACGAGGCCCAAUGCCUAAACAGAAUCUGGAAACCCUAAGGUUUCCAGAAGCUUCGCGCCGUAAUCACCCCAUCAGUCACGCCUCUUCAACCUCGGUCGUUCCAUCUACCCCCAUCGGCGCCGUGAUUCCAGGCCUCAAAUCUAGCCGUAGUUGAAGACGAAUGAAUGCAAAUCAGCGCCAGCACCUUCGUCAUCAGGGCCUAAUCAUCCUGGCCCACUGAUUUCCUCGCUAGAUACCUGUAAAAGGAAAGAAAGAAAAAACAGCAAACAAGAAAAAACAGAUAUAGAAAGAAAUGAAAAGAUUUCUUCCUAAAUAUGAAACGUGGCUAUAAAAGCCUCCUUUGUAACCUGUUUAAAGGGGGAUUUUUUCUUUUGGACAGAUACAAAAAAGAGAUAUACGCAUAUAUUUACAGAAAUAAAAAAUAUAGGCAGUUUUCAUACCAAGCAACAGAGGUGAUUUAUUUACUUUAUUUCUUUCUUUAUUUGCAUGUAAAUAGUGUUAACAAUAAGUAAAAGUUACCUGCUGUGUUGCGAGAGAAAGGGGAGUUUUUUCUGAACCAUAACCGCCGAGCACGGUGGCUCAGGCAGUGGCGCGUGAAGCGCGUGAGGCUAAAGGUGGUGGCACUCCGGGACGAGCCAGGACGGCCACUAGCUAGAGCUCUGAGAGAAUUUUAGAGCUUUAACCUUUUUUUUCUGUUGAAUGUCUAAAAUGACAGUUUAUAGGGUUUUUUUU